rnacentral:piRNA from 1 species
CCAAGAAUCGCACAGUCUCUGGUGGGC